rnacentral:rRNA from 1 species
UACGGGGGGAGCAAGCGUUGUUCGGAUUUACUGGGCGUAAAGGGCGCGUAGGCGGCCACCGCAAGUCGACUGUGAAAUCUCCGGGCUUAACCCGGAAAGGUCAGCCGAUACUGCGGGGCUAGAGUGCAGAAGGGGCAACUGGAAUUCUCGGUGUAGCGGUGAAAUACGUAGAUAUCGAGAGGAACACCUGCGGCGAAGGCGGGUUGCUGGGCUGACACUGACGCUGAGGCGCGAAAGCUAGGGGAGCGAACGGG